rnacentral:ncRNA from 2 species
ACUCAUCACAAGGGGAGCCGUUUUUGGCUGAGAUUGAGCGCUUGCUCUGGACUCUUUGAACCUGAACUCGUUAGGACGAGCGGAGGGAUGUGAUUGAUAUGUUUU